CGGGGGAGGCCGGAUCCUGGGCUGUGUCCCGGCGCCCUGUGCUCCGGGGCCUGCGCUGUUGGAUUCGCGCUCCCGGGCCGCGCAACCCCCU
rfam:Canis lupus familiaris chromosome 2, whole genome shotgun sequence.